AACGAACGCUGGCGGCAUGCCUAACACAUGCAAGUCGAACGAGACCUUCGGGUCUAGUGGCGCACGGGUGCGUAACGCGUGGGAACCUGCCCUUAGGUUCGGAAUAACUCCCCGAAAGGGGUGCUAAUACCGGAUAAUGUCUUCGGACCAAAGAUUUAUCGCCUUUGGAUGGGCCCGCGUUGGAUUAGCUAGUUGGUAGGGUAAAAGCCUACCAAGGCGACGAUCCAUAGCUGGGCUGAGAGGAUGAUCAGCCACACUGGGACUGAGACACGGCCCAGACUCCUACGGGAGGCAGCAGUGGGGAAUAUUGGACAAUGGGCGAAAGCCUGAUCCAGCAAGGCCGCGUGAGUGAUGAAGGCCUUAGGGUUGUAAAGCUCUUUUAACCGGGAUGAUAAUGACAGUACCGGGAGAAUAAGCCCCGGCUAACUCCGUG
rnacentral:rRNA from 1 species